GACGAACGCUGGCGGCGUGCUUAACACAUGCAAGUCGAACGGAAAGGCCCCUUUGGGGGUACUCGAGUGGCGAACGGGUGCGUAACACGUGAGCAACCUGCCCUUGACUUCGGGAUAACUUCAGGAAACUGGGGCUAAUACCGGAUAGGAAUCCUUGCUGCAUGGUGGGGGUUGGAAAGCUUCGGCGGUUUUGGAUGGACUCGCGGCUUAUCAGCUUGUUGGUGGGGUAGUGGCUUACCAAGGCUUUGACGGGUAGCCGGCCUGGGGGGGCGACCGGCCACAUUGGGACUGAGAUACGGCCCAGACUCCUACGGGAGGCAGCAGUGGGGAAUAUUGCACAAUGGGCGGAAGCCUGAUGCAGCAACGCCGCGUGCGGGAUGACGGCCUUCGGGUUGUAAACCGCUUUCAGCAGGGGCGAAGCUUGUGGUGACGGUACCUGCAGAAGAAGCACCGGCUAACUACGUG
rnacentral:rRNA from 1 species